rnacentral:rRNA from 1 species
GACGUAGGGCGCGAGCGUUGUCCGGAUUUAUUGGGCGUAAAGAGCUCGUAGGCGGCUCGUUGCGUCUGCUGUGAAAACUCGGGGCUUAACCCCGGGCCUGCAGUGGGUACGGGCAGACUAGAGUGCGGUAGGGGAGACUGGAAUUCCUGGUGUAGCGGUGAAAUGCGCAGAUAUCAGGAGGAACACCGGUGGCGAAGGCGGGUCUCUGGGCCGUAACUGACGCUGAGGAGCGAAAGCGUGGGGAGCGAACAGG